AUUUUAUGCGGGAGUCCUCAUCCUUUUUUCGAUAGAAAAACAUCCAUCGUGAGUAAGUACAUUAGCGAAUUGGAUGAUUGCGAGAAGCUAUUUAUUCCAAUGCAUGACGAUUGCCCUGGUCAUUGGUAUCUGUGCGUCAUUGACUUCAAACACUUUGAUAUCCAAAUUUUGGAUUCAUUACGAUCGAAGAGUCGGGACGAGUUCCGGUUUAAGAGUGUCAAAAUAGUGGUUGAAUUUUGUCAAACGUUCUUCAAACUGUAUGACAUAGGGAAAGAUGUCUUCCAAUUCUCCAUUGAUUGGGCUCCUUCGAUUCCGG